GAUCUCUCCGGAUUUAAAUCUCUUUAGAUUGUCACAAAGCUUCAGUCUCUGAUAACCAUUACAAGUUUGCGACUGAGUUUGAGUCCCAUAACUUUCUGGCCUUCAUCUGAGCUGUUGGUUCAAGAUGGCAGACUGAGCACACACAUUCAGCCUCUUCCACCUUUAAAAGUGUCAACAGGAAUAAGUGAAUUCAAUGUAAGAAGAAAUUGGCUCAGGUGAUUAUGAAUGCCAAGAAGUUUCACCAUCUGCCGUCUACAAGCUGAGAACCAGGAGAGCUGGUGAUGUAAUUCAGUUUGAGUUCAAAGGCCUGAGAACCAGAAACUCUGAUGUCCAAGGGCCAGAGAAGAUGAAUGUCCCAGUUCAAGAAGAAAGAGGGAAAACUCACCCUUCUUUAGCCUUUUUGUUCUACUGAGGCCCUCAAUGGGUUGGAUGAUGACUGCCCACACUGGCCAGAUGUUUUAUCCUGCUGUGUUAAGUCAUCUUGACAUGUUGCCAUGAAAUGGAAACAACUGCUCGUUUUAAUAUUGCUCCA